rnacentral:rRNA from 1 species
CGGAAUUACUGGGCGUAAAGCGCACGUAGGCGGACUUUUAAGUCAGGUGUGAAAUCCCGGGGCUCAACCUCGGAACUGCAUUUGAAACUGGAAGUCUUGAGAUCAGGAGAGGUUAGCGGAAUACCGAGUGUAGAGGUGAAAUUCGUAGAUAUUCGGUGGAACACCAGUGGCGAAGGCGGCUAACUGGACUGAUACUGACGCUGAGGUGCGAAAGUGUGGGGAGCAAACAGGAUUAGAUACCCGAGUAUUUGUCAGUA